rnacentral:rRNA from 1 species
CGUUAGCGGCGGACGGGUGAGUAACACGUGGAUAACCUACCUAUAAGACUGGGGUAACUUCGGGAAACCGGAGCUAAUACCGGAUAAUAUAUUGAACCGCAUGGUUCAAUAGUGAAAGACGGUUUUGCUGUCACUUAUAGAUGGAUCCGCGCCGCAUUAGCUAGUUGGUAAGGUAACGGCUUACCAAGGCAACGAUGCGUAGCCGACCUGAGAGGGUGAUCGGCCACACUGGAACUGAGACACGGUCCAG